CCUACGGGAGGCUGCAGUGAGGAAUAUUGGUCAAUGGACGAGAGUCUGAACCAGCCAAGUAGCGUGAAGGAUGACUGCCCUAUGGGUUGUAAACUUCUUUUAUAUGGGAAUAAAAUGUUCCACGUGUGGGAUUUUGUCUGUACCAUAUGAAUAAGGAUCGGCUAACUCCGUGCCAGCAGCCGCGGUAAUACGGAGGAUCCGAGCGUUAUCCGGAUUUAUUGGGUUUAAAGGGAGCGUAGGUGGAUUGUUAAGUCAGUUGUGAAAGUUUGCGGCUCAACCGUAAAAUUGCAGUUGAAACUGGCAGUCUUGAGUACAGUAGAGGUGGGCGGAAUUCGUGGUGUAGCGGUGAAAUGCUUAGAUAUCACGAAGAACUCCGAUUGCGAAGGCAGUUCACUGGACUGCAACUGACACUGAGGCUCGAAAGUGUGGGUAUCAAACAGGAUUAGAUACCCUAGUAGUC
rnacentral:rRNA from 1 species